UACGGAGGAUGCAAGCGUUAUCCGGAAUGAUUGGGCGUAAAGCGUCCGCAGGUGGCAAUGUAAGUCUGCUGUCAAAUCGUCUGGCUCAACCAGAUAAAGGCAGUGGAAACUACAUAGCUAGAGUAAGGUAGGGGUAGAGGGAAUUCCUGGUGUAGCGGUGAAAUGCGUAGAGAUCAGGAAGAACACCGGUGGCGAAAGCGCUCUGCUGGACCUUAACUGACACUGAGGGACGAAAGCUAGGGGAGCGAAUGGG
rnacentral:rRNA from 1 species